CCUACGGGAGGCAGCAGUAGGGAAUCUUUCACAAUGGGCGAAAGCCUGAUGGAGCAAAGCCGCGUGCAGGAUGAAGGCCUUCGGGUUGUAAACUGCUUUUAUAAGCGAGAAAUAUGAUGGUAACUUAUGAAUAAGGAUCGGCUAACUACGUGACAGCAGCCGCGGUCAUACGUAGGAUCCGAGCAUUAUCCGGAGUGACUGGGUGUAAAGAGUUGCGUAGGUGGCAUAAUAAGUAGCUAGUGAAAUCUGGUGGCUCAACCAUUCAGACUAUUAUCUAAACUGUUAAGCUCGAGACCGUUAGGAGUAACUGGAAUGUGUGGUGUAGGAGUGAAAUCCGUAGAUAUUGGAAGGAACACCGAUAGCGUAGGCAGGUUACUGGGACGGUUCUGACACUAAGGCACGAAAGCGUAGGGAGCGAACGGGAUUAGAUACCCGAGUAGUC
rnacentral:rRNA from 1 species